AGAGUUUGAUCCUGGCUCAGGAUGAACGCUAGCUACAGGCUUAACACAUGCAAGUCGCGGGGCAGCAUGAAGUCAGCUUGCUGACUUUGAUGGCGACCGGCGCACGGGUGAGUAACGCGUAUCCAACCUGCCUGUUACCACGGCACAGCCCGUCGAAAGGCGGAUUAAUGCCGUAUGUGGUCCUUUGCGGGCAUCUAAUUAGGACUAAAGGUUCAGCGGUAACGGAUGGGGAUGCGUCCGAUUAGCUAGACGGCGGGGUAACGGCCCACCGUGGCUACGAUCGGUAGGGGUUCUGAGAGGAAGGUCCCCCACACUGGAACUGAGACACGGUCCAGACUCCUACGGGAGGCAGCAGUGAGGAAUAUUGGUCAAUGGGCGUAAGCCUGAACCAGCCAAGUAGCGUGAGGGAAGACUGCCCUAUGGGUUGUAAACCUCUUUUGUGCGGGGAUAAAGUGUGGGACGUGUCCCAUAUUGCAGGUACCGCACGAAUAAGGACCGGCUAAUUCCGUGCCAGCAGCCGCGGUAAUACGGAAGGUCCGGGCGUUAUCCGGAUUUAUUGGGUUUAAAGGGAGCGCAGGCCGUCCUUUAAGCGUGCUGUGAAAUGCCGCGGCUCAACCGUGGCACUGCAGCGCGAACUGGAGGACUUGAGUACGCACGAGGUAGGCGGAAUUCGUGGUGUAGCGGUGAAAUGCUUAGAUAUCACGAAGAACUCCGAUUGCGAAGGCAGCUUACCGGAGCGCAACUGACGCUGAGGCUCGAAAGCGCGGGUAUCGAACAGGAUUAGAUACCCUGGUAGUCCGCGCGGUAAACGAUGGAUGCCCGCCGUUGGGAUUUGGAUUUCAGCGGCCAAGCGAAAGCGUUAAGCAUCCCACCUGGGGAGUACGCCGGCAACGGUGAAACUCAAAGGAAUUGACGGGGGCCCGCACAAGCGGAGGAACAUGUGGUUUAA
rnacentral:rRNA from 1 species